CAUAAGUUUCCACCUUGCCUUUCAUAUUAAUCAAUCAUUUCAGAACAGUUACAAGGCAAUCUGAUGUAUUAGUAAGCAAAAACUCUCAUUAUCCAGCCAAAAUCUAGGUGACUUUUCACAUUUGUUCUUCAACUUUUUACUAAAAUCUAGCAAGUCUUAAGCAAAAACAGAGCCACAAGAGAGAGCCAUCAGCAACAUAGCUGCUUGUUCUUCUUCACUCAUCUUUCUCCUCUGCUUCGAUAUCGAUGAUCGCGGUCUCUGGAUCACCACCUCACUCCCCAGAGCCAUCAAUUUCCUCUUCAAACAGUCCACCAUUGUAUCAUCAUUGUUAGAAUUGAUUGCCUCAUCAGCUGCAUUCUUCUUGGGCUUCUUAUCAUCUUUGUUCAAUCCCAAUAAAGCCCUUCUCCUCUUUCGGCUUCUGAUCCCACAAGCAUUACACAAUGACUGCAUCAAACAUGAACAAAAUACCCAAAUCAUUAAACACCAAUAUCACAACCUUAAAUCCCAUGAUAAAAAACCACCUUAAUCAUGUGAUCAACCUUAAAUCAAGAACAAAAACACACCUUAGGGCCAGCUGGGCCGCCUCUCCAAAGAGGGGUUUUCGAAGUACCACAAUCAACACAUGUUAGAUCUUAGGAAAAAGUUGAAGAACAGAUGUGAAAAUGUGACCUAUAUAUCUUGAUAAUGAGAGUUUUUGCUCACUAAUACAUCAGAUUCUUGAUUCUGUCUGUAAUAUGGAGUUGUGCGGGUGGAAAUGUUAGUUAAGACUAGUGCAGUCGUUCGCAACCACAAGUACGUGGCAGGAUGCUAUGCUCAUGUUAAGAUUCCAACACGAUUAUGAGGCUUAAGGAGGAGUGCAGUUCAUCAAGUCAUUAAAAUAUGGAGUAAGAGAUGGCAGAAAGAACAAAGCAUCGUAAGAAAAUCCCUAUGGAUGUUAUCAGCUGGACUAAAUCAGCACGGGCCUGACAAGCAGCAUUCAGCAAGAACACGGACGCAUAGAUGUUACCAGGAAAAGGGAGAUCAACAGAGAACUUAUGCCAACAAGCAGCAACUCAGGUGACAAAAUUUCUGCAACUUAAUUAUCAAAUACUUGGUGCAAAAGUUGCUUCAAUGCUCCAGAAUAUAGCACGUAGUAUACUAAGUAGUUAAUGCCCAAAACAAAUACCCUGUGAACACUUGUAGUCCAACACAUGAAUAAGUAAUGCGGAAAAGUCAUGCAGACCUUCUUUAAGAAGAACACAGUAAUGGAAAUGUAAUGCUACAACAGCUAAUUGUACGAUAAAUAUAUAACAGACCUCAGCACAAUUGAUUGUCCAAGGAAAGAGCAGAAAAGCGCAGAUGUAACAGUCAAGAUGGGAGAAGCUGGAGGGAGUUCGAUGACAUGAAAUAAAAAAACAUCUGCUAACUUUGUAACAGAGGAAAAGAGGAAGAAAGAGCUCAUACAAAUCCAGUCUAAGCAAGGAUCAGAAGCAGAAUCUGUAGAAAGAAUUAAUGUUGCUGCAGUAUCAAACAAUGUAGCAGUCAGUAAAUUAAGAAAAAUAAAGAAAAUUAGUCUCCUGUAGCUGCAGGCUGCAGCAAACGAAGUGAACUCAUCCACAAGUUUUCAGUGGAAAAAUGAAAAUAAAGACGUGAAGCAACAAUCAAUGGAAAACAGCAGCUGGCAAUAUUUAAUUUUAAAUAUGUUAUUUAAUGAUUUCGAAAGAUCAUAUUAAAAAUUAACCCAUUUCUUUCUUUUUUUUUUUUAAAUUUAUUAGGAGAAAUUUUCUAAAUGGUAGAAAGGAUAAUGUUGGAAAAUCAAAAUAUUUUUAAAAGUUUGAAUUUUUUAAAAGAAGUUUAUUACUCCCCCAUCCCGACCAAUUCUUUACGUUUGGUUUGGACACGGAGAUUAAAAAAUAUGUAUAAAGUACUGGGAAAGAGAAAGAAAAGUGGAUGAAGUGGUGGGACCCAUUAAUUUUUAAUGUAUAAAAGAGAGUUAGUGGAGUAAAAGUAGUGUGAAAAGGAAGUAAAAGUAGUGUGAAAAGGGAGGAAAAGUUGGGAAGUGGUAGGACCCAUUUACUAUUUUUGGUAAGUUUUGAAAUGUAAAGAAUUGGAUGGGACAUCCCAAAGAGGAAACUGUAAAGAAUCUGCUGGGACAGAGGGAGAGCCGUAGUUGUAGUAGUAUGGUAGCUUAGAUAUCGAGGGCAUUUUGGUGAAUGAGAUUUGAGAUCAUAAACCCAACUUGGGCUUUACAUCAAAGACCCUCUCUCUGUUUCCUACACCCUCAAAAACAAUCUUCAAACAUUGCAAUCUAUACAUCAGGUUAGCUAAUUUCUUUGUACAUUGUCUCUUUCACUGCUUAUUUUAGUCUUUAUUAGUUAACAAUUAUUAUUCAUACUAAUAUCUUUUNNNNNNNNNNNNNNNNNNNNNNNNNNNNNNNNNNNNNNNNNNNNNNNNNNNNNNNNNNNNNNNNNNNNNNNNNNNNNNNNNNNNNNNNNNNNNNNNNNNNNNNNNNNNNNNNNNNNNNNNNNNNNNNNNNNNNNNNNNNNNNNNNNNNNNNNNNNNNNNNNNNNNNNNNNNNNNNNNNUUGAAAAAUAUGUAUAAAUUACUGGGAAAGAGUAAGAAAAGUGAGUGAAGUGAUGGAGGAAAAGUGGAAAAGUGGGGAUGCAUUGACUAAUAUUUAUAAACUUUGAAAUGUAAAUAAUUAAAUGGAACAUCCAAAGAAGAAACCCUAAAGAAAUGGUUGGGACAUAAAGAGUACAUUUUAUGAGACAAAGUAUAUAUUAACAUUUAUAAAAUAUCUUAAUGAAUAACUAUAUUUGAAAUAUUUAAAAGAAUUUGUUGUUUGAAAUAUGAAUGAAAAUUAUCAUUUGACAUAUAUUUUGAUUGAAAAUCUGAGAGAAAACAAAUUCUUUUUCUAUUUUUAUAAAUAAAUAAUUAUUAUAAGAUAAUAAUAUCAUUCAUAAAAAUAAUUUAUGUAACAAAAUAAUAUUUUUACAAAAUUGUUUAAUUUAUUAGAAAACUUAUAUAGCCUUUUACAUUAAAAUUUUAUUCUCAAAAAUAAAACUGUAUAUAUCAUCGGGUUUUAUAUUAAAACUGGUCACCCGUUGCGUUAAAAUGUCUCACUUGACCAACACAUCUCAUCGGUAACUCAUUUAAACCAUUAUAAAUCAAAUAUAUAUCAUUUUACCCACAUCACUAUUUAUAUCUCUUUACUUAAUCAUUUAUAAAAAAUCAACCGUUUAUUUUUUUUUAUUACAAAACCACUUCGAGUACUUUCAUAAUUGUCUCAAGUAUUUAUCAAAAUAAUCUGUAAAUUUCUAAAACAACAUAGCUAUAUAUUUAAUAUAUUAAAAAAAAUAUAUAGCUAUAAAUAUAUAUUUAUUUGAUCACUCUAGCUGUGUUGCCUUAAAAAUUCUCAAAUUACUUUGAUAAAUAUUAGAGACAAUUGUGAAAGUACUCGAAAUGGUUUUACAGUAAAAGGACAAACGGUUGAUUUUUGAUAAAUGAUUAAGCAAAGAGGCAUGAAUAGUAAUGUGGAUAAAAUGAUAUAUAUUUGGUUUAUAGUGGCUUAAAUGAGUUCCCGAUGAGAUUGAUGGAUCAAGUGAGACAUUUUGACGUAUCGGGUGGCCUGUUUGAUAUAAAACCCAUAUAUCAUCUGCUCAAGCGAGCUAUUUAAAUAUAAAUAAAUAAACAAAAUAAUAGUAAAAAGUAUUAUAGAUACCGAGACGUUGUGUAGUAAUAAAUUAGAGCUUUAUUCGGAUAUCAGAGAUCAGCAAGAUGAGUGAAGAGAUUUUGCAGGGUGAUUCAAGAGAAGAGCGAUUGAAGAAUUUCAUCGCUUGGUUUCCGGAAGAGGAGAAAGUUGAAUGGGAUGCUGACUAUUAUGUUGAUGAGAGUGGUCGUCAUUCGAUGACUUUUGAGGAAUAUGUUAGUCACCGCCUUGACAUGAUCGAAACUGAUGUGAGUAGACGUAUUUUUAUGCUUGUUCUGGAUAAAUAUUUAGGGUUUUUUAAUUUACAAUAACCCUAUAACUUAUUUCGUCUAAAGUGUUCGUGUAUGUUUUGGUGUUGGUAUAUCUCAUUUUAGGAUUUCGACAUUUAGGACUAUUCAAAUGUUGGCGAUCCUAUAGUGCUUCUUCAAGUUUACGACCCACCAGAAAAACCUGCUGAUCAAAAAUGUGUAGCUAUACUGGAAGAUUGCUCCCGUCGCGCAAUUACCCACUAUAACAGGGAAAAUGUUUGGCUUCUUAUCUAUGCGUAACAGCGCUUGCCAUCCAAGCAGUAGAUGUAUAUGAAAAUCUAUCAAUUGAGUUAAAUUGAACCAAACUGUAUCCUUUCUCGCCCCAAUCAGCGCCCCAUGAAUUCCGAAUACGAAGUAUCCAUGCUACACAUUGACAUCAACAAUGACUACAGAAUGACCACCAUGAAUUACAGCAUUGGGUGCACUCUUAUAAAUUCCAUGCACNGGGAUGCAUUGACUAAUAUUUAUAAACUUUGAAAUGUAAAUAAUUAAAUGGAACAUCCAAAGAAGAAACCCUAAAGAAAUGGUUGGGACAUAAAGAGUACAUUUUAUGAGACAAAGUAUAUAUUAACAUUUAUAAAAUAUCUUAAUGAAUAACUAUAUUUGAAAUAUUUAAAAGAAUUUGUUGUUUGAAAUAUGAAUGAAAAUUAUCAUUUGACAUAUAUUUUGAUUGAAAAUCUGAGAGAAAACAAAUUCUUUUUCUAUUUUUAUAAAUAAAUAAUUAUUAUAAGAUAAUAAUAUCAUUCAUAAAAAUAAUUUAUGUAACAAAAUAAUAUUUUUACAAAAUUGUUUAAUUUAUUAGAAAACUUAUAUAGCCUUUUACAUUAAAAUUUUAUUCUCAAAAAUAAAACUGUAUAUAUCAUCGGGUUUUAUAUUAAAACUGGUCACCCGUUGCGUUAAAAUGUCUCACUUGACCAACACAUCUCAUCGGUAACUCAUUUAAACCAUUAUAAAUCAAAUAUAUAUCAUUUUACCCACAUCACUAUUUAUAUCUCUUUACUUAAUCAUUUAUAAAAAAUCAACCGUUUAUUUUUUUUUAUUACAAAACCACUUCGAGUACUUUCAUAAUUGUCUCAAGUAUUUAUCAAAAUAAUCUGUAAAUUUCUAAAACAACAUAGCUAUAUAUUUAAUAUAUUAAAAAAAAUAUAUAGCUAUAAAUAUAUAUUUAUUUGAUCACUCUAGCUGUGUUGCCUUAAAAAUUCUCAAAUUACUUUGAUAAAUAUUAGAGACAAUUGUGAAAGUACUCGAAAUGGUUUUACAGUAAAAGGACAAACGGUUGAUUUUUGAUAAAUGAUUAAGCAAAGAGGCAUGAAUAGUAAUGUGGAUAAAAUGAUAUAUAUUUGGUUUAUAGUGGCUUAAAUGAGUUCCCGAUGAGAUUGAUGGAUCAAGUGAGACAUUUUGACGUAUCGGGUGGCCUGUUUGAUAUAAAACCCAUAUAUCAUCUGCUCAAGCGAGCUAUUUAAAUAUAAAUAAAUAAACAAAAUAAUAGUAAAAAGUAUUAUAGAUACCGAGACGUUGUGUAGUAAUAAAUUAGAGCUUUAUUCGGAUAUCAGAGAUCAGCAAGAUGAGUGAAGAGAUUUUGCAGGGUGAUUCAAGAGAAGAGCGAUUGAAGAAUUUCAUCGCUUGGUUUCCGGAAGAGGAGAAAGUUGAAUGGGAUGCUGACUAUUAUGUUGAUGAGAGUGGUCGUCAUUCGAUGACUUUUGAGGAAUAUGUUAGUCACCGCCUUGACAUGAUCGAAACUGAUGUGAGUAGACGUAUUUUUAUGCUUGUUCUGGAUAAAUAUUUAGGGUUUUUUAAUUUACAAUAACCCUAUAACUUAUUUCGUCUAAAGUGUUCGUGUAUGUUUUGGUGUUGGUAUAUCUCAUUUUAGGAUUUCGACAUUUAGGACUAUUCAAAUGUUGGCGAUCCUAUAGUGCUUCUUCAAGUUUACGACCCACCAGAAAAACCUGCUGAUCAAAAAUGUGUAGCUAUACUGGAAGAUUGCUCCCGUCGCGCAAUUACCCACUAUAACAGGGAAAAUGUUUGGCUUCUUAUCUAUGCGUAACAGCGCUUGCCAUCCAAGCAGUAGAUGUAUAUGAAAAUCUAUCAAUUGAGUUAAAUUGAACCAAACUGUAUCCUUUCUCGCCCCAAUCAGCGCCCCAUGAAUUCCGAAUACGAAGUAUCCAUGCUACACAUUGACAUCAACAAUGACUACAGAAUGACCACCAUGAAUUACAGCAUUGGGUGCACUCUUAUAAAUUCCAUGCACAAAUAUAUAAGUAAAUGGUUUACGUAUUACAAGUUGAAUUCAUUUCCUAAUUUUACAAAAAAAAAAUCAGAAAAUUUAUCUCCUAACCUAAAACAAAAUGUGACAUAAUAUUUUGAUUUGUAUGCCAAUUUACCAAGACUAAUUAAUAUACACUACAAUAAACAAUUUAAAUGUAAAUUAUACAUAAGAUUCUAAACAUUAUAAAUUAGACAUGUGCCUCAUUGUUUCAUAUUGUCUGUAUGUUCUCACUAAUACGAUUCAGAAAAGGAUAAUCCUUAAGCAAACUCACUCUUUUACUGGUGACAUAAUCAUAAGCUUUUGAAUGACUAUAGAAAUAUGCACCUCAUCUAUUAAAUUUAAAUUUGAUAAAAUAUCAAACUACCAGUAUUGUAGAUAAUGUUAUGAAACGGUAAAAAAUUACAUCAUUAAAGUGAACAUGACUUGUUUAUGUUGUGCAACGGUAAAAAAUUACAUAAUAUUAAUAUUAAAAUUUUGUUAUCUGUGUUAUCAUUUUGAUAUUGAACAUUUUAAUCAAGACGGACAUGACUUGUUUAUAUUGUGAAACGAUAAAAUAAUACAUAAUAUAAAUUUGAAAAUUUUGUUUUUUGUGUUAUCAAUUUGGUGUUGAAAAAAUUGAAAAUUUUACUAAUAUAUAUGAUUUUAGAGUUUAUUAUAACACAACUAUUCAAGGAGUUAAAAUAAAUCUAUUAAUCAUUAUUAUAUAUUAUUAUAUACGACUACUUACUUUGAACCUGGUUUCGUCACUCACAACGGUUCCAACCGCUAUUGCUCAAAAAUAUCCUGGUAAAUAUAUUGAAAAACAUAUACUAUAAAAUUCAAACUAUUUACAGAUAUCACAUCGAAUUUCAUUAGAUUAACAACCAACCUCACUACAUCUCUGGCUAUAAACUUCUGUUUUGAGUUUAGGCAUAUGCUCGUAUAGAUUAACCUCUACGGGUGGAAUGUUAUCUGCCAUAAAAUCUGUAAAUAAAAAAGAAUAAGUCGAUCACAUUGUGUGUGUUUAUUUGUAAUGUUAAGAACAAGUCUUUUCAGAAUAGUAGUAUUAUAUCAACAACAUAAAAAAAUCAAAUAACAGUAAUAGAUCAAGAACAACUAACAAAAAAUCCCAAAUCUUAAAGAAUGAAAAACCUGAGAGAGAUUGUGACCAAGAGAGAUUAAUAAUGCGAGAGAGAUUGACAUCGGAGAAUCAACAGAUGCUGACGAACCAACGGAGACCCCGACUAAAUCGCUAUUUCUACUAUGUAAAGCUAAUGUAUAUUAGUAAUAUGUGUUUGAAGAAAAGAAAAAAAAUGUGAAUUGUUCAUCUAGUUUUGAGACCCGCACUUGUCAUGUAUAAAAGCUGCUAAGAAUUUCAAAUACUGAUGAAAAUAUACAAAUUACAUAUAACUCGGGUUAAAUAUCAAAUAGGUGACUGACGUCCAAAAAAUUCAAGUAGGUUACUCAUUGCAAAGUUGACACAAAUAAGUCACUCAUUUGAAAAUUUUUAUCAAAAAUAUAACUCUAUCGUUAGCCGAAAUUCUUAAAAUGUUGUAUAUUGAGUUUCACACAUUUUUUUAUGAAUGAUAUUACAUCCAAAUGGGAGAUUCUAAGUUCUAUUAUUUCAAAUAAUAUUUUUAGAUUUUUAAAAAUUGUACCUACUGUUUAUUUUUAUUUAAAUAAAAUAAAACAAGAAAUUAAAAAUAAAUAGUUGAUAAUUUAAAAUUUUAACAAUAUUAUCCUAAUUACUAGAACUCAGAAUUUUUCAUUUGGAUGUAAUACCAUUUAUAAAAAAUGUGCGAAACUCAAUUUAUAAUAUUUUAAGAAUUUCAACUAACGAUAGAGUGAUAUUUUUGAUAAAAUUUUUUAAACAAGUGACUCAUUUGAGUUAAAUUUGCAAUGAUUGACCUACUUGAAAUUUUUUAGAUUGAUUUUUAGUUUGUAUUCUAAUUCACUUUGUAUUGAAGGAAGACUAUCUGUGUGAGAGAGAGAGAGUGUGUUAUAAGAAAUUAAAAAUAUAUACACAAUUUGCUUUUAAAUAUAUUUUUCAUAUUCUUAGAAUUUUGUUGAAAUAAUUUGUAAAAUUCAAUCAUUUGAGCCAAUUUGAUUGAUAAAUGAGUCAAAAUUAAAUAUUCGAAACGAAAAGAGUAUGCGUGGUCAUAAAUUUAGUAUGAUCGUGUUUGUUAAUUAGAGGUUAGUUAUUGAUAUGGCUGAUUCAAUUAGAUUAUCUAAUUAAUGGAUUUUAAUUGGUUAUUAUGAUUAAAACAUUGAAUUAGCAUUUUGUAUGAAAAUACUUGAUAAUUAGGUAUUUAAAUAAACUUUCGUAUUUCAAAUAUACGUAUCAGAAUUCUCUCAACAAAAUGAACUUAUCAAGUCCAAACGUUGUUUCAAUCCAUUAUCUAUCUGGAUUCGUUGGCCAUAACCAGUGUUCUAAAAAUCGGUCUAGGCGGCCGCCUAGGCGGUGCCUAGGCGCUAGGCGGCCCCGAAACGCCCCGAUUCGGUGCUAGGCGGUGAAUUAGGCGUUUUUUUACAAAAAUCGGUCCUAGGCGGUCCACAUACCGCCUAGGCGGUCCAGGCGGCCAAUAACAAAAAAAAAAGAUUUUUAAUAAAUAAAAUCGAAAAUUAUGAUUUUAUUAUAAAAAAUUAAGUAUUUACUUGUACUUAACUUAAUAUCCUAUAAAACAAGUAAAAUGAUUAAUUUUAUUUAAUAUUUCUUACAUUAUUUAUAAGAUAGUGGUUGGUAUAUAUUUGUUUAAUCAAUGAUUUUGUAUUACAUGUAUCAAGUAUUUAAUUUCAAUAUAUGAUAUUAUAUUGUUUACCGGCUAGUAGUGAAAAGUAGAUAAAAUCAUUAAAUUAUGUUUAAUUAUAAUAAUUUAAAAAUAAUAUAUGUCCGAUUAAUGCUCCGAUUAAUCUUUCCGAUUAAUCCCCGAUUUCCCGAUUAAUCGCUAGAAGGUACCCCGACCGCCCUGGGACGCCUAGCGAUUUCUGGAACAUUGGCCAUAACAGUGAAUACUUUUCAUCUUUCCAAAUUCUACCAACUCAAAUUUGGACCUAACUAAAAAACAUUGGUGAUUGAGGCACAGAAUCUCUACCUCAUUACUACCACUAUUAUAACAUCCCCUUUUGAACCCAAAAAUCAUUGAAAAUGACACAUAUGGUUAAUCAUCAAACACCCAUCACCUGAUUCUUGAUCAAUACAAUACAUACAAACUAAUUAUCAAUCUAUCUAUCUAUCUGGAUUACAUUCCACCACCCACCAUUAAAACAUUACCACAAAACAAACAAAUAAGAAUCAGGAUCAUAAGUUUCCAAUUGCCUUUCAUAUUAAUCAAUCAUUUCAGAACAAUUACAAGGCAAUCUGAUGUAUUAGUAAGCAAAAACUCUCAUUAUCCAGCCAAAAUCUAGGUGACUUUUCACAUUUGUUUUUCAACUUUUUACUAAAAUCUAGCAAGCCUUAAGCAAAAACAGAGCCACAAGAGAGAGCCAUCAACAACAUAGCUGCUUGUUCUUCUUCACUCAUCUUUCU
rnacentral:lncRNA from 1 species